rnacentral:misc_RNA from 1 species
CAAUAAGUGUUUAUGGCACUUUCAAAUCCAUACCCACCUUGUGUGCAUUGUAAGGGCCCUUUCAACUCGCUCUCUCUCUCUCUCUCCCUUGGGAGGGAGGGAAGAAAGGGAAAAGACUGGGCUUCAUUUUCUCACACACGUCUUCAAUUGCAAGUCUAACAUUCAGAGUAAUCAAAACUCGAAUA